GGUUUAAUUGGAUUCAACGCCGGAAAACUCACCAGAGCCGACGGACAAAUGAAAGCCAGUGUGAUGAGCUUGCUGGAUUGUUCGAGAGGUAGUGCAUGGCCGUCGUCAGUUCGUACCGUAAGGCGUUCUGUUAAGUCAGAUAACGAACGAGACCCUCAUCCCUAUUUGCUAAGGUUACUCCGGUAGAUCACAGGACUAUAGGGAGACCGCUGGCGCGAAGUCAGAGGAAGGCGAGGGCAACGGUAGGUCAGUAUGCUCCGAAUGCACUGGGCUACACGCGCAAUACAAAGGACGGGACAAUGGGCCGCUGCUCCGAGAGGAAUGUGGCUAUCCCGAAACCCGUUCGUAGUUCGGAUUGAGGGCUGUAACUCGCCCUCAUGAAGCUGGAUUAGGUAGUAAUCGCGUCUCAAAAAGGCGCGGUGAAUAUGCCCCUGCUCCUUGCACACACCGCCCGUCAAACCAUCUUAGUUGGGGGUGGGUGAGGCUGCCUUUUAGUGGGGUAUUCGAGCCUGCCUUCGACAAGGAGGGUUAAGUCGUAACAAGGUAUCUGUAGGGGAACCUGCAGAUG
rnacentral:rRNA from 1 species